GUUGAAACACUGAUUCCCGUACAAUCACUGAAGUUAAGCAACAUGAAGCUUGGGCAGUACCUAGAUAGGUUACCACUUGGGAAUACGAGGUGCU